UACGUAGGUGGCAAGCGUUGUCCGGAUUUACUGGGCGUAAAGAGCGCGCAGGCGGUCGUUCAAGUCGCGUGUGAAAGCCCCCGGCUCAACUGGGGAGGGUCACGCGAUACUGAUCGACUCGAAGGCAGGAGAGGGUAGUGGAAUUCCCGGUGUAGUGGUGAAAUGCGUAGAUAUCGGGAGGAACACCAGUGGCGAAUGCGAGUCCCUGGACAACUCCUGACACUGAGGCACGAAAGCUAGGGGAGCAAACAGG
rnacentral:rRNA from 1 species